CACGAAACCGGGCGAGCUACUGUGGGGCGUAUUGUAGUACAAAGUAUGUAGCACAAUAACAGGAGACGUCACAGUAGGAGUGAGAGGCUUCCAAGUCCGGGGAUAACUUGAUAACUUUGAAAGGUAUUUAGUACACAAUCGAUUUAUUAGUGCCAAGGCUGAUAAAAUUUAUGUAAAUUGAUAGGUGACGAUAACAUAGUUUAAACGCUAGUAUCCAUAUAUUUAAAUAUUAAUAUUGGUUCUUAAUAGAUAGUAAAAGUUAGUAAUAUAAUUACCAAAACUAAUUAUAUUGUUAACAUUAGUAGUUAAGAUAUCAUUGAUGAACUCGGCAAUAUUUCUUUCACCUGUUUAUCAAAAACAUCGCCAACAGGAGGCAUUGUUGGUAAGUUCUGCUCAAUGUCCACAUAAAUAGCCGCAGUACCCUGACUGUGCAAAGGUAGCAUAAUCAUUUGGCUUAUAAUUGAAGUCUGGUAUGAAUGAAUACAUGGGGGAAAACUCUAUUAAUGAUAUCUCUCGAACUUCCUUAGUGGGUGCAAAUUCCCACAGUUAAAUAAGAGACGAGAAGACCCUAGAAAUUUUUACGAGGUGUAAAACCAAGUUUUUGUUGGGGCAACAUAGUAGCAAUUAACCUACACUAGUGACACGACAUACUUUAGUCAGAUUAAAUUACUCUAGGGAUAACAGCGUAAUUCAUAAGAGUUUGCGACCUCGAUGUUGGACUAGGAAGCAAAUGCCUAGAA
rnacentral:rRNA from 1 species